AAUUCCUCAUACGACGAAGACGUUUCGUUCGUUAUAUGACCACGUGCAUCCACAACUAUCAUAAAACUGGUGUCUGCUUAUACCACUUACACAAACAGGGGAUAAUAGAACAUGGUGUUACAUGGAGAAGGAACCAUUUGCAUCACAGGGUUGCAUCAGAACACAUUGUUUCACACAGAAGGACUUCACACUAUGGACACAUUCAUGAUAUAAGAGUAGACAAGCGUAUAUUCCGGCUGUAUAGAAAGCUUGGAGUUCACCUAGUAGGACAAGGAAUUACUUUCCAUGGUUACUUUUUCAGAUUCAGUAUGGACUACAGCGUAUUUUAUAAGACCCUUCGGUCAUGUAAGAGGACACAUGGUAGCAUGCGUA